rnacentral:rRNA from 1 species
GGUGAACGCUGGCGGCGGGCCUAAUACAUGCAAGUCGAACGGCCGCACAGUGAGAUCGCUCCCCUACCGUUGGCGAGGGGCGGGCGGGUGAGGCAUACAUCGGCUUCUUCUUUUUCGUGGGGAACAUCGUGGGAACACAUAUACUACCACCUCAUAUGACCAACGGGUUGAAUCAAUGGUUCUACGGAGUUUUCCUGUCUCAAUUAGCCGGUGUCGGAUUAGCUAGUUGGUGUGGUAAAGGCCUACCAAGGCAACGAUGCGUAGCCGAUCUGAGAGGGUGAUCGGCCACACUGGAACUGAGACACGGUCCAGACUCCUACGGGAGGCAGCAGUGGGGAAUCUUCGGCAAUGGGCGAAAGCUUGACGGAGCAACGCCGCGUGAGUGAUGAAGGUCUUCGGAUCGUAAAACCCUGUUGUUAGGGAAGAACAAAUGUGUAUGUAACUAUGCACGUUUUGACGGUACCUAAAGAGAAAGCCACGGCUAACUACGUG